rnacentral:lncRNA from 1 species
AAGCCUAGUUAUGAAUCAAUUUCCCAGACUGUUCUUAUUAAAGUAAUUAAAUUACCUGUUGCGUGCUGGAAUCUCCUGGGAAAACAUGACUGCAUUUCCUCAAGGGGGCUCGGGGGUGGGACCACAGCACCAACACGUGCCCAGGGCAGCUCCUGCUCCAGCACUGUGCCAUCACUUCUCAUCUAAAUUGAAGGCUAAGAUCUACGAAGCUGCUGGCCACCACGAGAAAAGCAAGCAGAGCCCCACGCCGGGUCCUGCUGCUUUAUCACCCGUCGUCCCAACCCAUUCACAUGCAAAAUGCGUGAGAGCUCCCUCUAUUAGCGGUGCGGCUCUCGGCAGCCUUUUGGCACAGCACAAGGAUGUCGGUGUGCAAUAACAAGGAGCGAAAGCAUCUCGGUACGCAACGAGGAGCAGAAUCACAACCCACUCAAGGCUUUGGCCGCCCUCAUCUCCCAGCCAAACCCUCCACAGCGUGGCCCUGCCCUCCAGGUGCUGUAAAUGAGGGUUUGGCUUGGGCAGAACCCCUCGGGCUGCUCAGAGGUGGAUAAGGACUUACUUCUCUCCCUCCACCCUCGUGGAAAUGUAGGUCCCAGAUCCUGAAAACCCUACAGAAAUCAGAGCAAAAUAGAACAGCACAAACAGUUUGGGGGUCCAGCCCAGCUCCUGUUCACCCAGCACUCGGUUGCUUCACUCUUUAUACAGAAGCACUUUUCCCUGCCUGAAGCGCUUCCUCUCCUGUCCAUCCCCCAGGAUCACCCCCACGUUCGCAGAGCGCACCUUCCCUCCCACAUCUGGCCAGGAAGCGACUUCUUCCUUGCUUCUCCGAUUUUGUUUUAUUGUCAUCCUUCGGUUAAAGCAGCUGGACGUUUGCAAACAGCACCAGCAGCCUCUUGCGGGCACGGCGGGUCCUGCAGCCAGGAGCGCUCGGAUGGUGCGGAGCUGUUUGCUCUCUCGCAUGCUUUGUGCAGGGAAAGGCAAUGCAACCGUGCAAACCCUCCCUUCCCACCUAACAGCACCACUACACAGCUGCCCGGAUCUGAUCAGCAAACUAACAAAAUCAACCAGGAACGACCUGACAAAAUUACCUUGUGACUAAGCAAUUAAGCCAGCUCCCAACGAGCUCCAUCCCCACUUCGUUGCUGCAGCUGAGUGCUGAUUUAAGCCACCCUGUGCUGAUAAGCCAGGCUGUCUUCUCA